UUCUUUAAAAAGCAACCGAUGCGUCUCACUUUACAUUGUCUCUCACUGGAUACCACCUGAGUCAUCUGAGAAUGGAGUCUCAAUGGAGGAAUCUCCCAGAUAAGAAUCUGACAGUUCCUGGGGAAAGCAAACAGGAGGAAUACCAGUCUGCACUCUACAGGGACCCAACCCACAUGUGAAGUGCCUUCCUGUACCAGGGACUCUAUGCUACACCGAUGAUAAAGAAAUGAAGGAUGC